rnacentral:rRNA from 1 species
AGAGUUUGAUCCUGGCUCAGGAUGAACGCUAGCGGCGGGCUUAAUACAUGCAAGUCGAGGGGCAGCACGGGCUUCGGCCUGGUGGCGACCGGCGGACGGGUGCGUAACGCGUAGGCAACCUGCCUAGUACUGGAGAAUAGCCCAGGGAAACUUGGAUUAAUGCUCCAUAAUGUGAUCGAGCGGCAUCGCUUGAUCAUUAAAGAUUUAUCGGUACUAGAUGGGCCUGCGUCUGAUUAGCUAGUUGGUGAGGUAAAGGCUCACCAAGGCGAUGAUCAGUAGGGGGUCUGAGAGGAUGAUCCCCCACACUGGCACUGAGAUACGGGCCAGACUCCUACGGGAGGCAGCAGUAGGGAAUAUUGGACAAUGGGCGCAAGCCUGAUCCAGCCACGCCGCGUGCGGGAAGACGGCCCUCAGGGUUGUAAACCGCUUUUCUAUCAGAAGAAUUAGCUUUCUGCGGAAGGCAGUUGACGGUAUGGUAGGAAUAAGCACCGGCUAACUACGUGCCAGCAGCCGCGGUAAUACGUAGGGUGCAAGCGUUGUCCGGAAUUACUGGGUUUAAAGGGUACGCAGGCGUCCAAGUAAGUCUGUAGUGAAAGACGGUGGCUUAACCAUCGCAGUGCUAUGGAUACUGCUUGGAUUGAGUAUCGGAGAGGUAACUGGAAUUCGUGGUGUAGCGGUGAAAUGCAUAGAUACCACGA